ACAACAACAACAAACCCAGUGUAUUCCCACUUAGUGGGGUCUGGGGGGGUAAGAUGUACGCAGUCCAUACCUCUACCUCUGAUGAAGUAGAAAGGCUGUUUCCGAAAGACCCCCGGCUCAAGGCACAAGAUACCACACAAACACAUAGUAAAGCACAAAAGCAGAUUACAUAACAUAAAUACGGCACCCAUAAGGAAUAUAAAACAGAGGAAAGCAGNN
rnacentral:lncRNA from 1 species